rnacentral:rRNA from 1 species
UUCCUACGGGGCGCAGCAGCCGCGGUAAUACGUAGGGGGCAAGCGUUAUCCGGAUUUACUGGGUGUAAAGGGAGCGUAGACGGCAGGGCAAGUCUGGAGUGAAAGGCAGGGGCCCAACCCCUGGACUGCUCUGGAAACUGUCCGGCUGGAGUGCAGGAGAGGUAAGUGGAAUUCCUAGUGUAGCGGUGAAAUGCGUAGAUAUUAGGAGGAACACCAGUGGCGAAGGCGGCUUACUGGACUGUAACUGGCGUUGAGGCUCGAAAGCUUGGGGAGCAAACAGGAUUAGAUACCCCGGUAGUCCACAC